GCUGGCAACUGCAUUUUGGGGAGGAAUUUAUUCCACUGUGAUGCAGAUAGAUGACUGCACAGGAUGCCGAAUAACGAACUGGAAGGAGAUUCCCUCAACAAUGGCUUCUUUUUACUUAUCUACCCGCCACUGAAAAACAAUUUCUUUUUCCUGACAAUAUUUCCAUUCAUUCAUGUUUAUUAGGUCCUUUUGCUUUCCUCAAAGCACUGGCAUUGGAAGGAUUUGAAAGAAAAAAUAGAAGCUGGGAUUAGAGCCAGACUGAGGAGAAACGAUGCAGUCUGUCAGCAAGCCCUCAGCAGGUGGAAGUGGUAACAGAGCCAAGAAAGAGCUAUUCCUUGUUGAAGUAAUUGAGGGCAGCAAGUACAACAGCCCAGGAAUGUUCAAAUGCUAACAAGAAUGCAUCAGGAAUGCAUAGAACAUAUAAGAAUUCACAGAAAUGUGUGGGUGUCUUUUUGCAGUGUUUUAUAUAUACUAAAACCCAUAUGCUGCCCUUAGAGACCUGGAAAACACAAAC